UAGUUAUUCUAGAAUUCAUGUCAUAGUCAUACAGUUGUGCCUCUUUCAGUUCACAUCCCCCCUUAGACAUCUCUCUGGUACUAUAUAUUUCCACUGUCAGCUACGCUUGAUGAGAACAUGGGAAAUUACCAAAGGGGAUGUCCCUUCCUCCACCAAGGUGGAUGAGAGGAACUCUAAAGCCAUAGUUUUAGAAUUGGGGAAUCUUCCUUGGGAGGGCCCCUCUCUCUGUUGACAGUAUGAGGAAUGCAGAAUUACUUAGAGCUGUUGCCUAAGCCUUAGAUGACUCAAAUGAGGGAAAUUGUCAGCUUGAACUGUUAGUCCUGAUGUGUGUUGUGGUUCCAAGAGGCACCUCAACUUUUUCUGAAGGGAUGAAUGUCAUAUUUAUCUUCAUGAUUCUUCUUUAAAACACAAGUCUCUUGGAAAACAUCUUCUUCAACACUUUACAAACAGCUCUGGCUUGCACCACCCACCAAGAGCAUUGCUGGUUGUCUAUUGAUCAUCCAGUGCGUUGCUGGAUACUGUCAAUAUACCAGAUUUAGACUGUGUGUUGAAGACUGCCAUGUACAGGACACUGUUGGCUUCUGGUCUUAGCAACCAACAAAUAAUUUAGAGUCUGGAUAUUUGAUGAUCCCUAAAGAAGAAUGACUCAACUAGCCCUCUACUGUGGACUUCUUCAUUACCACAGACGUAGAUCCAGUCCAAGAACUGAUUUUCCCUUGUGCAUUUAUUUGGUGGCCACUUGGAUGCAGCUUAGGAAACAGUUAGUGUUUCUCCAGCAGUUGGGAAAUGUUUACUUCCAGCUGUUUAUUUCCCUCAGCGGAUUAAUAAGCCUAUUUCAAAGUGCUGCAAAAAGGAAAAAUGAGUUUUUGAAAAGGGAAAGGAAGAACAUCCAGUGACAGAGUGUUUUCAUCAAGUUCCCGUUCUCCUGCAUCACAAAGGAAGAGUUUAAACGAAAGGCUCAGAGCUUCCUUGACUUUCCAGUGUGCCUAAUCAAAUGUGUAAUUUAUCAAGCAUAAUAAAAUAAACUACAUCAACUGAA